rnacentral:rRNA from 1 species
UUGACAUACUAAGAACUUUCCAGAGAUGGAUUGGUGCCUUCGGGAACUUAGAUACAGGUGCUGCAUGGCUGUCGUCAGCUCGUGUCGUGAGAUGUUGGGUUAAGUCCCGCAACGAGCGCAGCCCUUUUCCUUAUUUGCCAGCGGGUCAUGCCGGGAACUUUAAGGAUACUGCCAGUGACAAACUGGAGGAAGGCGGGGACGACGUCAAGUCAUCAUGGCCCUUACGGCCAGGGCUACACACGUGCUACAAUGGUCGGUACAAAGGGUUGCUACCUCGCGAGAGGAUGCUAAUCUCAAAAAGCCGAUCGUAGUCCGGAUCGCAGUCUGCAACUCGACUGCGUGAAGUCGGAAUCGCUAGUAAUCGCGGAUCAGAAUGCCGCGGUGAAUACGUUCCCGGGCCUUGUACACACCGCCCGUCACACCAUGGGAGUUUGUUGCACCAGAAGUAGGUAGUCUAACCGCAAGGAGGACGCUUACCACGGUGUGGCCGAUGACUGGGGUGAAGUCGUAACAAGGUAGGCGUAGAUGA